rnacentral:rRNA from 1 species
CCCUUAGACGUUCUGGGCCGCACGCGCGCUACACUGACCAGUGCAACAAGCAUCCGUCCUUGGCCGACAGGCUCGGGCAAUCUUUGAACGCUGGUCGUGAUGGGGAUAGACUUUUGCAAUUUUUGGUCUUCAACGAGGAAUUCCUAGUAAACGCAAGUCAUCAACUUGCAUUGAUUACGUCCCUGCCCUUUGUACACACCGCCCGUCGCACCUACCGAUUGAAUGGUCCGGUGAAAUCUCGGGACGGCGGCUUGGUCGCUUGCGUCCGACUGCUGAAACUUGAUUAAACCAUAUCAUUUAGAGGAAGGUGAAGUCGUAACA